rnacentral:rRNA from 1 species
UACGAAGGGUGCAAGCGUUACUCGGAAUUACUGGGCGUAAAGCGUGCGUAGGUGGUGAGUUAAGUCUGAUGUGAAAUCCCCGGGCUCAACCUGGGAAUGGCAUUGGAUACUGGCUCGCUAGAGUGCGGUAGAGGGUGGUGGAAUUCCCGGUGUAGCAGUGAAAUGCGUAGAGAUCGGGAGGAACAUCUGUGGCGAAGGCGGCCACCUGGACCAACACUGACACUGAGGCACGAAAGCUAGGGGAGCAAACAGG